UUCCUUGAGUGAACGACAGCUUCAGAAACUGUGAGUGGCCAGUGAGACAACAUUCCUCAGAUUGUGUUACUAUUUCUCCCACAUUAGUUUCUCUUCAUAUACCUGUACUUAACAUUUCACCUCAGGCAAGCAAUGUUCCUGUCCUCGUUGGAGGUGAAAUUUCACAUUGUGGUCUGUGUCAUGAUUUCUAGUGUCCUUCUUUUAGGAUUUCCACUCUGAUAUUCUCUGCAACAGCCCAUCAUUAUUUUAUUUUUCUUUAACUUAAACAUUGAGUUUUGUUCUAAUUGAUACUAUUCUAAAAUGUAUGUCUAUUCACCAGUAUUUUCCUCAAUUUCACAUUAUUUGGUCAUGUGUGCUUACCUGGUCUUGUGAGCUUGUCAACACUUUAAUUCCCCUAGUCUACUCAAGGUGUUUCUCAGGUUUAUUUCUUUUUUUCCUCAAUUAUUUUAGGCAUGAAAAAAAGCCAUAACAAGCAAGAAAUAAUAUCUAUGCAAGAUAUCUACAUGAAGGACCCACCUAACUGCUGGACAAUACAGAAACGUCAUGCAGGAGAAGACCUCUCUGUAUAUAGUGGGUAUGAAGUUUUCAUUCACACCUACACAUUGACGCAACAUGUCUUAACUCACACUAGACAGAAACUCUAUAGAUGCAAUGAAUGUGGAAAGCACUUCACCCGAAACGCCAACCUUCAUACCCAUAAAAUAAG